UGGGGAAUCUUGCACAAUGGGGGAAACCCUGAUGCAGCGACGCCGCGUGAGCGAUGAAGCCCUUCGGGGUGUAAAGCUCUUUCGGCAGGAACGAUAAUGACGGUACCUGCAGAAGAAGCUGCGGCUAACUACGUGCCAGCAGCCGCGGUAAUACGUAGGCAGCGAGCGUUGUUCGGAAUUACUGGGCGUAAAGAGUGUGUAGGUGGUGUCGUAAGUUUGGUGUGAAAUCUCCCGGCUUAACUGGGAGGGUGCGCCGAAGACUGCGAUGCUGGAGUAUGGGAGAGGAAAGCGGAAUUCCUGGUGUAGCGGUGAAAUGCGUAGAUAUCAGGAGGAACACCUGCGGUGUAGACGGCUUUCUGGACCAUUACUGACACUGAGACACGAAAGCGUGGGUAGCAAACAGGAUUAGAUACCCCGGUAGUCCCUGAGCGGGCUGGCAAGGCGCAU
rnacentral:rRNA from 1 species